rnacentral:rRNA from 1 species
ACUCAAUAGAUACCCCGGUAGUCUUGGCCCUAAACUAUGUUCACUAGGUGUCGGGGGGUAACCUUCGGUGCCGCAGCUAAACGCAUUAAAGUGAACCGCCUGGGGACUACGGCCGCAAGGUUGAAACUCAAAGGAAUUGGCGGGGGCCCGGCACAAGCGGGUGGAGCAUGUGGCUUAAUUCGAUGCAACGCGAAGAACCUUACCCAGGCUUGACAUGGAUCUGCAAGCUCCUGAAAGGGAGUCGCCUUCGAGGGUGAUCCGCAGGUGGUGCAUGGCUGUCGUCAGCUCGUGUUGUGAAAUGUUGGGUUAAGUCCCGCAACGAGCGCAACCCUCAUGUUCUGUUGCCAGCGCGUAAUGGCGGGAACUCGGAACAACUGCCUCUGUAAAGAGGAGGAAGGUGGGGAUGACGUCAAGUCAUCAUGCCCCUUACGCCUGGGGCUGCACACAUGCUACAAUGGCUGGUACAAACAGUUGCGAUCCCGUGAGGGUUAGCUAAUCUGAAAAAACCAGUCUCAGUUCGGAUUGGAGUCUGC